AAGUGUUCUACAUAUUAAUAAACAUGAUUUGAUUAAAAAAAUAAUUGGACAGUAUUUAUUCCUCUUGUUAAUCUACCAUUUCUCUUUCAUACAUUAUAUUCAUUGUUAUCUUUCAGGGCUCUGUGAUGGACAGGUGACCUGUCCAGGGUGAACCCCGCCUCUCAUCUGAUGACUGCUGGAGAUGGGCACCACCAGCCCCAAUCACCACCCUGCAAGGAUCAGCAUGUUCAGAUCAUGGAUGGAAAGAUUUUAAGGCAUCCGGUCCCAAUCAUCAUCAGUUCUAAUGAUGCCACAUACAUAGAGAGUCCACAACCUCUUAAAAUUGUUUCUGUGAAGUGCAGUGGUCCAGUGAAUGGGAAUGUUCUGUUGUUGAUCCUCACUGUUAGAAAGGAGAAAUGUCAGUUUUUCUGCAGUAAUCCAGGAAUACUGUGACAUUGAAUUAAAACAAUACUCUGUCCUUGGUGAAAUGUUUUUCACAUUUCCUCUAAAGUGUACCUAUUGUUUUAUUGUGCUAAUUUUCAUAAGAAUGUUAUCUGUAAACUUUGAAUAUAUUGACAAUUUGUACAAUUCUCUGAUAGUAUAUUGACAAUGUACUCUUGAUAAAUGUGAAUAUAUUGAAUACACAAUGUAAGUUUUUUCAGCCAGAAAGUGUGUUGUAAUUGAUCCUUCUGUUUUCUGGUAACCUGAUAUGUUUGCAGUACUGUAGUGUGAAUGAAGCAUGUAAAGUACAAAGUGGCAAAGCAGAAUAAUAAAAUACAUUAAAUAACUAAAAA